UUGUUGUUUGGGGGCUUCCAUCGCAUUUGGUAGGAGAGAUGGGGCAUGACAAGCUAAUCCUCCUAGAAUGUAAACUGAAUCUCUCAAUGACUCAAUCUACAGAUGAGCCAAGCAAGGCGCAGACAGAUGGGCAGUGAUGAUCGCAGCUCCCUGCAUCUGUCAGAAACAUUAUUGUCUUACAAGGCACUUCCUCACACCCUGCAUGUCGCUCUCACAGGGUUCCAUCAUGAAGGCUCAGCUCUGCAAGGCCUCGGAUUCUAGCAUGUUGCAAUUCAUGCCUCAAAACUAUGAGUUAUCCAGCUCACCAGCAAACUGGGUGCAUGAGGAUCUUAGGGUCCCCUCAACAAGCACCGACCCAAGUGGAAGCCAAACUCGCUCAACUUGAUUCUGUGCCAGAACCUUGGACCUUCAAUGCUGCAACAUGCAAGCAGUCUUAGAACUCCCCUCCUCUGAGUCUAAUGCCACAAGGAGCCUCUGGAACUCUGUGUGCUGCUGGCUGCAAUCCACACACUCAGAAGAACCAGUUGUUCCAACCUCUAAUGAUGGAUUCUUUUAAAGAUGGUCCCCUGUUGUUUUUCUUUUGGUUUGUCUUUUCCCCUUGCCUAGACAUAAAAUGGCAAGGACCAAACCUUCAACAUUUGUCUAUUCUAUGGUCCCGCAAACACCAACACUGGCCCAAGAACCCAGUUAGCACUCCGUAAAUAUGAUCUCACCAGCUAUUCCAACCCAGAUGGUUAAUUAUAUAAAGAAGCAGAAAUGGACGUGUUAGAGGGGGAAAACAAAGCAAAGAAAAAUCUCCAGGUCUUCCCAAGUGCUUCUGGUAUUCUUCCCUUCCCAACCCCUUCACUACCCCCAUGCUUACUAAAAAUACAGAAAUCUGAUUUCUCUUCGAAAUCAAACUUUAGAAAAACAUAUUUUUCAAGAGCAUUUUUUCUUCCAACAAAGCUUGGCUGCCUGUGUAGGCUGUAAAUUUACAGCUGACAGUUCUCUGCCAGAAGUUCUUUUGGGUGUUUACAGCUGUGAAAUUUAAUCUUUAGGUUGCCUUGCAUUUCCCUCGUGCUCGAGCUCCCGGUCCAGAGGACUGUGCUCCUAACAACAUAACUCAGAACAGUAAUGAAAUAACAAGAAUAUUUAUUUACAUUUACAAACCACCUUUCACCUAAGGGCCCCUUAGUAAUUUCAAACACAGCCGAAUUGGUUCCAAACUGGGUAGCUCUCCAACGUAGAUUUAGAAGCUAAAAAUGGAUUCAGUCUGCUGUGUGUAAUUCCUUGGCAAAAAUCAUAUACUUCUUCAUAAAUGGAAAUGGUGAACCCUAAUGCUUCAAAAAUCUUCCUCGCCUCUUCAAGUCUUUAUUCUCACUGAGAAACAAGGAAUCAGCAUUUCUAGGCCCCACCCUAAAUAUGACUGUUUUAUGCUUUGGAUUUUUUACAAGUUAACCUUUCUAUUUUACAAGGUUCACUGAAACAUCUCUUAAGCAGAGUAUGUUGGGAAUUCUGUGUCAUCCCAUGGUUUUAAACAAGUAGAAGCCUGUGUCCCAAAUCCCUUUGGUUUUUAAACACAAAAAAUCCCUUUUGUUCUAUUCUUUUUAUUUUUUCCCUUAAUAUCUGCUAGGCUGUAUGCAUUUAAAUAUAAAACAUGGCUUGUAUGUA